CCUCUUUGCAAUCUCUACUCUCUUAUUUAACAGUUUACAUUCUCCAUGGCUCACUCUCCUUCAGCCAUUCAACAUUUUGGACUUUUACCUUUCUGCUUGUUUUCGGUCUUGAUCCCCAUUCAAGGUAAAUGCUGCUGCUUUUCUUUUUGCUAAUGUUAAACUGUUACUUAGCAACCAGCAGAACAGCUUAAUCCAGACCUGGGAUGUCUGCUCGUGAACUGUGUCGUUUCUGAUGGUUUUGUUUGGAUUUUAGCGAAGUUUCUCUGUAGAGUCUCCUGAAUCCUGUUGCUGUUUCAGACCCAAGCGUUGGUAAAAUGAAGACAACAGCACCGGUUCUUCACCGGUAUCUCAUCAUUCCAGAUCCACACGAUGUGAACGUUGGUGAGCCCGCGAGUUGAAACAGAAACAUUUCAGCUUUGAUUUUUAGCCUGAAUGUUCUGUUUUAUAACUUAUUUCUUUAAUUUCAGCGCAUCGCUCCAGGCUGCUGCUCUGUUUCCUCCUUCUGGUUUUCUUCUUCUUUGUUGUUUUUAUUUGGUAUUUUAAAAAGUUCUCCAGCAAAUUUUGUAGAAAGAAUGUGAGUCAGACGUCCAACCUCCACCCUGAAAGCUUCACUCUGCAGCAGACAGUAAUCAAGCACCUGGCUUGGUUUAGUAACGUUUUCCUGAACCUGGAUUGGACUUUAUUAAAUGUAUAAAGCUGGGACACAUUCAUCCUUGCACAUCAAGCCUGGCUUUAGAGCUUACACUGAAUUUCCAAAUUCAGGUUUUGUGGAACCGGCCUCAGGUCAGAUUUUAAAGAGAAACUCCUGAGACAAGCCUCCACCUUGGAGUGUGGAUGCCUUGCUCAAGAGCAGGUCAGUGUUCAUGUCAAUGGGAGCUCCAUGAGGUCUUCUCCCCUGCAGCUUUCUGAUGGCUUGGAUUCAAACCAGCAACUGCAGCAUCAAGGAAAGCCUGGAGAAGAGCUGAGCCUUCAGUCAGAGUGUGGAUGAUGGGUCCAGAGAGACUCAUGAUUUCUCUGCACCUUUAUUUCUCUCAUCAGCUCUGCAGUCGGUCUCCUCAGCAAAUGUUGGAGGAUUUUAACCUAAAACAGCAGAAGACCUGCUGCUUGUUUGACUCUGGACUCUGUUUUUGUUCUGCUGGAGCGCCCCCUUG